GAUGAACGCUGGCGGCGUGCCUAAUACAUGCAAGUCGAGCGAACGGACGAGAAGCUUGCUUUUCUGAUGUUAGCGGCGGACGGGUGAGUAACACGUGGAUAACCUACCUAUAAGACUGGGAUAACUUCGGGAAACCGGAGCUUAUACCGGAUAAUAUUUUGAUCCGCAUGGUUCAAAAGUGAAAGACGGUCUUGCUGUAUCUUCUAGAUGGAUCCGCGCUGCAUUAGCUAGUUGGUAAGGUAACGGCUUACCAAGGCAACGAUGCGUAGCCGACCUGAGAGGGUGAUCGGCCACACUGGAACUGAGACACGGUCCAGACGCCUACGGGAGGCAGCAGUAGGGAAUCGUCCGCAAUGGGCGAAAGCCUGACGGAGCAACGCCGCGUGAGUGAUGAAGGUCUUCGGAUCGUAAAACUCUGUUAUUAGGGAAGAACAUAUGUGUAAGUAACUGUGCACAUCUUGACGGUACCUAAUCAGAAAGCCACGGCUAACUACGUG
rnacentral:rRNA from 1 species